GCUUUAAACGAGGACACAAAAGAAAACGGCGAUGAGGCUGUGAAAGUUGGUGGCGACGAGUCCAAAGAUGGUUGGGUUUGUGAAGGAA
rnacentral:sRNA from 1 species